UUCCCCUUAAAAAUUGGCGAUACAUCGCCUGACUUUUUGUGAAGGGUGUCCCGAAGAGAGAAAUUGCCCGAAGAACUGGGAGGUUGAAGACAGCGAUCACCAGGAUUUUACGCGCUUUUAGAGAAGAUGAAACACUUGCUGAUGCCAAGUGGUCUGGGCGGCCAAGAGUCACGACAUACGAGACCGACAUUUUGAUGUGGCAGCAGCUGUCGUGGAUUCUUUCUUCUCCGCCAAGGAAAUCUGGAACAAGCUAUCACUGAAUAUUUCUGCAAGGACAGUGAGCCGACGAACAAAGGAGGCCGGAAUUUACAAUUUUGCCGCGGCGCAAAGCCUUUUCUGUCUGAGCGACAGCGCAACCACCACCUGUAUUUCGCUUUGAACUAUAAGCAUUGGAUGGAAGAAAAAUGGAAAAAUGUCGUUUUUUUUUUCUGCCGAGCUGACUUCCUGCACUCGAUGGGAUCAGAAGAGGAGGGUGUGGCCGGCCGCAAGUUUGAGGGCGCAGCGAGUCGUAUACACAUCAUCGCCACCAUGCCCCCGUGGAACUGAGCGCGUCACAGAAUGAAGAAAGUGACGCCUAGCACAAAACGCUACAUGUAAUCACUGGUACGCCGCAAGAGAGUAAAAAGACAUGGAAGCGAAA